UUUUACAUAAACCGCACACGGGUCGACACAUGCGUUCGGGUGCUCUAAAAAUACUAUAUUUGUAAACAUUUUUGGAGUCGUCGCAUGGGAUCUGUGGAAGCUUAA
rnacentral:sRNA from 1 species